rnacentral:lncRNA from 1 species
GGUCAUGGGUGGGUUUGGAGGAAGAAGAAGAUGAUGAGGAAGAAGAUGAUGAGGAAGAGAAGUGGAUGAGGAGGAAGAGGAAGGAAGAGGGGUUGCCAACCACAAAGAAUAGAUUAGAGGAGGAGGACAAUGAGGAGAAGAGGAUGGGGAGAAAAAAAAGGAGGAAGAUGGAGGAAGCCACCAUAGAGAAAGAAAAAUAGAUGAAGAAAGAGAGAAGAAGGGAGAG